rnacentral:lncRNA from 1 species
CGCCCCCAGCCUGCAGAGCCCUCUGCCCAGCUCCCUCAGUUCCUGCCCCAGAGGACACGGGCAGCCCAAGGUGCAAACCUUGAGAAUGACACGGUCUGCCUCGGAGCCCGCGGGCGCGUACAGGAUCUUGGGGUUGCUGGUCAUGAGGUGUACGAGGAGGCCCAGGUUCCGCUGCUCCUUGCUCGUGAAGCCCAGGGAGCUCAUGUUGCCCCUUCUCAGCGCCUCGGGCUCGAUGGUGCUGGGGCAAGCAGGCGAGACUCGUGGGACGGGGCACCGGCAGGGAGGGGUGAGCGCGGGGCUUCCGAGCGGGUGCAGGUGGCAAACCAUUGGCAGGGAGUGGGGGACCGUGGGCCGGGACCAGGGAGGGGGUGUCAGAGCCAGGCCUGGGGGCAGGCCCAGCGCCCCCCGCCUUCCUCACCCCCGCCCCCUGCCACCCACCUACCGGUUGUUGCCACACAGGAUGGGCUGCAGGCCGGCCCAGAGCUGCACGAAGGCGGAGCACUGGCCCUGCAGCGCGUCCGAGGGGGCCGGGGCUGCAGCGGGCGGGGCCCCCUCCUCGGCCGUGCUGUUGGAGCUGGGGCCCGCCCCAGCCCCAGUGCUGUUGGCCGCCCCGCCAGGGCCGCUGGCUGCGGGCCCAGGAGCCCGGCCUGCGCAGGCGCCCUGAGGCAGCAGCAAGGCCAGGGCCGAGAGGACGUCCACGUCCCGCAGGAUCUUCUGGGCGUCCAGCAGGUCCUCCAGGAGCGCCUGCAGCCGCGGUGGGGGUGGCGGCUGCUGCGGGGCGGCAGAGCCAUUGGGGCCGUUCAGGCCCAGCUGAGGGGAAACAGGGUGAGUGGGCAGACGCAGGCCCAGGGGAGGGCGCAGGGUCUGGGGGCUGCUCUGCAGGGGCGGCUGAGGUCAGCGUGGAACAGGGAGGACACCCGCAGGAGACACAGGAGGCGAGCAGGGGAGCAGCCUGGGGGUCAAGGAGUGCCGACCAGGGAUGGGGAGACAGGCUGGACCGAAGGCCCGGGGCAGGGGACCCAAGCACAGCCCAGGUGCCAGAUCUGCAGGCUGGCUGGCGGGCAGGCCUCACCUGCUGGGCGAUCUUGGCCGCAUCCAGUUGGUUCCGGAGCUCAGCAGCCAGCUCCGAGAAGCGGUGGGCACGCGCCACAGCCUGCCCUCUGCAGACUGCGUCCCGGUAACCCUGCAGCGCUGUCUGCUGACCCCGGGGCACAGUGA